rnacentral:rRNA from 1 species
UGAUACGGAGGGUGCAAGCGUUAAUCGGAAUUACUGGGCGUAAAGCGCACGCAGGCGGUUUGUUAAGUCAGAUGUGAAAUCCCCGCGCUUAACGUGGGAACUGCAUUUGAAACUGGCAAGCUAGAGUCUUGUAGAGGGGGGUAGAAUUCCAGGUGUAGCGGUAAAUUGCGUAGAGAUCUGGAGGAAUACCGGUGGCGAAGGCGGCCCCCUGGACAAAGACUGACGCUCAGGUGCGAAAGCGUGGGGAGCAAACAGGAUUAGAUACCCUGGUAGUCCACGCUGUAAACGAUGUCGACUUGGAGGUUGUGCCCUUGAGGCGUGGCUUCCGGAGCUAACGCGUUAAGUCGACCGCCUGGGGAGUACGGCCGCAAGGUUAAAACUCAAAUGAAUUGACGGGGGCCCGCACAAGCGGUGGAGCAUGUGGUUUAAUUCGAUGCAACGCGAAGAACCUUACCUACUCUUGACAUCCACGGAAUUCGCCAGAGAUGGCUUAGUGCCUUCGGGAACCGUGAGACAGGUGCUGCAUGGCUGUCGUCAGCUCGUGUUGUGAAAUGUUGGGUUAAGUCCCGCAACGAGCGCAACCCUUAUCCUUUGUUGCCAGCACGUAAUGGUGGGAACUCAAAGGAGACUGCCGGUGAUAAACCGGAGGAAGGUGGGGAUGACGUCAAGUCAUCAUGGCCCUUACGAGUAGGGCUACACACGUGCUACAAUGGCAUAUACAAAGAGAAGCGAACUCGCGAGAGCAAGCGGACCUCAUAAAGUAUGUCGUAGUCCGGAUUGGAGUCUGCAACUCGACUCCAUGAAGUCGGAAUCGCUAGUAAUCGUAGAUCAGAAUGCUACGGUGAAUACGUUCCCGGGCCUUGUACACACCGCCCGUCACACCAUGGGAGUGGGUUGCAAAAGAAGUAGGUAGCUUAACCUUCGGGAGGGCGCUUACCACUUUGUGAUU